rnacentral:lncRNA from 1 species
GGGCGGGGGGGGGGGCGGGGGGGGGGGGAAGAGGACCUGGGAAGAGUCCUUCAAAAGCAUUUCGAUGUUUUCCCAAACCGAUUAGAAAAAAAAGUUAAAGAGAUGUCGCCCACCUUGUAUCACCUGGCUGCGUGCUGGACCAACCAUCCUGGCAGCCACACGGCAGCUCUCCGCACCUCCAUCCCAUCCCAUCCCAUCCCGUCCCAUCGCAUCCCAUCCCAUCCCGUCCCGUCCCCCCCCCCUUCCCACCUCGCAGGGCACCUACCCUAGCGUUGUCAUGGUGACGAUGGUAUACCAGAAGGCCGCGGGGAUGCUGGUGAACUUGCUGCCGAAGACCCCUUCUCGGCGUAGAACAUGACGGUGGCAAAGAUGAUGAUGGCCAUGGUGAGCGAGAAGAGCAGGAAGCCCAGUUCGGAGGCGCAGCUCUUGAGCGUGUACCCCAGGAUGCGCAGGCCCUGCGAGUGGCGGGAGAACUUGAAGAUGCGGAAGACGCGGAAGACCCGCAGCGUGACGAAGGCCCCGCUGACGUCCUCGUUGUCCGUCAUCACCAGCCCGAUGUAGUAGGGCAGGAUGGCCACCACGUCGAUGAUGCUCAUGACGCUGCGCACGAAGCGGUAGCGGCUGGGGGCGGCGGCCAGGCGCAGCAGGUACUCCACGGUGAAGAUCAUGACGCACGCGGUGUCCAGGCAGAAGAAGGCCACGGCGUAGCGCUCCCCGCACGGCAGCUCCUUGGCGUGGCCCGGGCUGGCCCCGCACGGCACGGUCUCCACCACGUUGGCGAUGACCGACACGGCGAUGAAGAAGCCGGUCACGUAGUAGAAGACGAGCGCCAUGGUGCUGGUGUGCGGGUUCUCGAAGGCGCGCCACACCCUCUGGCGCGCGGUCAUGCUGGGCAGCGCGCUCUCCCCGCCCGUGUCCGUGUCCGCGUCGUCCUGCAGCCGCUCGGCGUUCUCCCGCCGCCGGUCCUUGUACUCCUCGUAGCAGCAGUCGCCGAUGAUCUCGGGGAUGAGGCCGAAGAAGGCCAGCUCCUCGUCGUAGGCCGAGAUGCACUCGUGGCGCGGGUAGUGCAGCUUCCCCGUGCGGUAGAAGUUGAGGAUGUGCCGGAAGAUGUCGGGGUCGCGGUCGAAGAAGUACUGCUGGCUCUCGGGGUGGUAGAAGAAGUCCCGCUCCGAGCUGCCCAGCAGCGUGUCCGGGUAGCGCUCCAGGGUGUCCUGCCACGUCUGGAAGCGGGUGCCGCUCACGUUGAGCACGAUCAGGGCGUCCUGAGUCCGCUCGCGCUCCUGCCGCGGGGGCGCGGGCAUGGGCCCCGAGGCCACGGGCAUCCAGCCGAUGGCCGCGGCGCGCGCGAACGGCAGCCAGGCCGCCACGCCCGCCGCCAUGGCCCCGACGGAGGCGGCCCCGGUGCCGGGCGAGCGCGAGGGUCACGCGGGGCAGGGCCCGGGCGGAGGUCCC